CAGCCGUGAGCCCAGACUCCUGGGCCAACUGGCUGGUGGCCAUGGCCCUGCCCUCUGGCCUUUCUCUGCCCUGACUGCUUGCGGUAAGAAGCUGCCUCAUCACAUCAGUGGGACUCAGGGCUUUGUCCCAGGGUCCCCAGCAGGCUACACAUGGCUGGAAGAAACCUGACGUCCGCAGCUCGAGCCGGGAUGUGGGCUAAAAGGAACCCUUGACGCCGCUGCUCGACAUUUGGCAAGUGCUCGGAAAUGGACAGAAACCCACUGUCGCUCUGCUCCUGCACCUUGAGAACAAAAUAGCCUAAAAGGGACCAAAAAGCUUCAGGAGCAGGAACCCUGGACAGUGGGGUCCAGAGGGAGCGUGCCAGGGUCCACGCCCUCCCGUCAUGCCUGCGUAGACCGCAGGGCCCUGGGGCCUCCAGGCUCCCCCAGGUGCAGGAGAAGAUGGGGAGACUGCGUCGCUCUGAGGUGCUGCCUGUCCCCACGUGAGACCACAAUGCCACCACAGCAAGAACCUCCACAUACAGGACAGUGAGGGCAGAGCUCAGCCCAGGGCAGGGGCGCUCUGCAGCGGGAGCUGGGUCAGCUCUGGGGGUCUGCCCUCAGGGUCUUCUUCAUGUUGUCCUGAGAACCCCCCAGAGUCUCCACCAAGACUUGACUCUUGUCCCUUCAAGGGGGGUCAGCAAUCCCAGACAGGGCAGGGGACGCGGACAAGGAGCUCAUGCCGCGAGCCUUCUUCGAUGUGUCCGGGUGAGAACAUGGCUCUGGGCUUGCCCCAAGCAGGACACAGAGCUGACUGGAGCACACGGCCACCCCACCCUGCAGAAGGGGCCCUCAGGACAGGUCCAGGCACCGGAAACUUGCAAGGACGUGGCUCCUCUGGGUGCCAGUCUCCAUGUCUGGGUGCUGGGGCAGGACUAGGAGAAGCCCCAGCUCGCAAAGAAAGCCCACGUCUGCAUUACAAAGCCAGGGUACUCCACGUCCCAGGUGCCGACCCCCAGAGACCUGGGCGUCCACCCUGCAAAUGUCCUCCAGGCGGUUUCACAGGAGACAGAAGGCGGAGGAGGACCGAAGCCCCGCCCCCCGCCCCAGAAACAGCCUCCAGGAAGACCCUCCCUGGUGGGCCAACUUGUCACAGCUUCGGUCCUCCUAAGCUCUCAAGAAGGCUGACCUUCCCAUCACCUUGCCCCGGAGUCACCUGUGGUUCCUACUUGCUGGCUCACUGGAGCAGGUGAAGAAAAAUCCCACAGACCAGGAUUUUUAAAAGAGAAACUGUCAACGGAAAAAAUCGCUCCUAUACAUGGUGUUUUACUGGGUUUAAUCUUGAGUCCAAAGGCUUUCUUUCUGCCCUGGGAGCCAACUCUCACUGCAGCCCUGGACGGCAAGAGCCGCCCUUUCUCCCCACAUCAAACAGCCCCACAAGCCGCAGACAGCACAGGGGCCUGGGGAUGCCCCAGGGCAGGAGCAGCUCCGAGGUCUGCAGGCCUGGAAAAGCGGCAGAAGGGAGCCCCACACGAAACCCAGGAGCCUGGCCGCGCGGGGCUCCGGAGGCUGCGCCCCGCCGGCGGGGACCGUGUCACCCUCGGCAACCGCCACAGCGGCUCCGGGCCCGGCCAGGCUCGCAGUCCACGCCUCGCCCUGCCUGACCCGAAGGCCUGGCUCCCGGGGGGGCUGGCCGCGGGGCGGGGAAGACGGCAGACCCAGCGGAGACCCCGACCCCGGCGAACGCCGGCGUCGCGCUCCGUCCCGGGAGGCAGGCGGGUCCCGCAGUCUCCGCGAACCGGGCGGGGGGCCAGCCGCAGGGGAAGUCGCGGCGGGGCGACGACCUCGAGACCCAUCGAGCCCCGGGCGUCUUACCGAUCUUGGCCAAGCUGGCCACGAGGAUCCACAGCGCGAUGAUGUACGGGUCCUGGACAUGGAGCCACUCGAAGGUGACCACCUGGAAACCCUG